CGGUUGAUCCUGCCGGAGGUCACUGCUAUUGGGAUUCGACUAAGCCAUGCGAGUCGAGAGGGUUCGGCCCUCGGCUGACGGCUCAGUAACACGUGGAUAAUCUGCCCUUAGGUGGAGGAUAAUCUCGGGAAACUGAGGAUAAUACUCCAUAGAUCUAGGAUGCUGGAAUGCAUCUAGAUUGAAAGCUCCGGCGCCUAAGGAUGAGUCUGCGGACUAUCAGGUUGUAGUCAGGGUAAAGACCUGACUAGCCUACGACGGAUACGGGUUGUGAGAGCAAUAACCCGGAGACGAUAUCUGAGACACGAUAUCGGGCCCUACGGGGCGCAGCAGGCGCGAAAACUUCACACUGUGCGAAAGCGCGAUGAGGGAAUCCCAAGUGUUUGCUCGUAAGAGUAAACUGUUUCUUUGUUUAAAACGCAGAGAGAGUAAGGGCUGGGUAAGACGGGUGCCAGCCGCCGCGGUAAUACCUGCAGCUCAAGUGGUGAUCAUUAUUAUUGGGCCUAAAACGUCCGUAGCCGGUUUAGUAAAUGCCUGGGUAAAUCGUGUAGCUUAACUAUACGACUUCCGGGUAGACUGCUAAACUUGAGACCGGGAGAGGCUAGAGGUACUCCUGGGGUAGAGGUGAAAUUCUGUAAUCCUAGGGGGACCACCAGUGGCGAAGGCGUCUAGCUAGAACGGGUCUGACGGUGAGGGACGAAGCCCUGGGGCACAAACCGGAUUAGAUACCCGGGUAGUCCAGGGUGUAAACGCUGCUUGCUUGAUGUUAGUUGGGCUCCGAGCCCAACUAGUGUCGGAGAGAAGUUGUUAAGCAAGCUGCCUGGGAAGUACGGUCGCAAGGCUGAAACUUAAAGGAAUUGGCGGGGGAGCAC
rnacentral:rRNA from 1 species